rnacentral:misc_RNA from 1 species
GAUGAAGAACGCAGUGAAAUGCGAUAAGUAAUGUGAAUUGCAGAAUUCAGUGAAUCAUCGAAUCUUUGAACGCACAUUGCGCCCCCUGGUAUUCCGGGGGGCAUGCCUGUUCGAGCGUCAUUUCACCACUCAAGCCUCGCUUGGUAUUGGGCAUCGCGGUCCGCCGCGCGCCUCAAAUCGACCGGCUGGGUCUUCUGUCCCCUAAGCGUUGUGGAAACUAUUCGCUAAAGGGUGUUCGGGAGGCUACGCCGUAAAACAACCCCAUUUCUAAGGUUGACCUCGGAUCAGGUAGGGAUACCCGCUGAACUUAAGCAUAUCAAUAAGCGGAGGA